rnacentral:misc_RNA from 1 species
GAUGAAGAACGUAGCGAAAUGCGAUAAGUAAUGUGAAUUGCAGAAUUCAGUGAAUCAUCGAAUCUUUGAACGCACAUUGCGCCCGCUAGUAUUCUGGCGGGCAUGCCUGUUCGAGCGUCAUUUCAACCCUCAGGCCCCCAGUGCCUGGCGUUGGGGAUCGGCCGCUGGCGUCCUUCGGGGCGCCUGGCCGGCCCCGAAAUCUAGUGGCGGUCUCGCUGUAGUCCUCCUCUGCGUAGUAGCACAACCUCGCAGUUGGAACGCGGCGGUGGCCAUGCCGUUAAACACCCCACUUCUGAAAGUUGACCUCGGAUCAGGUAGGAAUACCCGCUGAACUUAAGCAUAUCAAUAAGCGGAGGA